CAGGCUUAACACAUGCAAGUCGAGGGGCAGCAUUUUAGUUUGCUUGCAAACUAAAGAUGGCGACCGGCGCACGGGUGAGUAACACGUAUCCAACCUGCCGAUAACUCGGGGAUAGCCUUUCGAAAGAAAGAUUAAUAUCCGAUGGUAUAUUAAAACCGCAUGGUUUUACUAUUAAAGAAUUUCGGUUAUCGAUGGGGAUGCGUUCCAUUAGUUUGUUGGCGGGGUAACGGCCCACCAAGACUACGAUGGAUAGGGGUUCUGAGAGGAAGGUCCCCCACAUUGGAACUGAGACACGGUCCAAACUCCUACGGGAGGCAGCAGUGAGGAAUAUCGGUCAAUGGACGAGAGUCUGAACCAGCCAAGUAGCGUGAAGGAUGACUGCCCUAUGGGUUGUAAACUUCUUUUAUAUGGGAAUAAAGUAUUCCACGUGUGGGAUUUUGUAUGUACCAUAUGAAUAAGGAUCGGCUAACUCCGUGCCAGCAGCCGCGGUAAUACAGAGGAUCCGAGCGUUAUCCGGAUUUAUUGGGUUUAAAGGGAGCGUAGGUGGAUUGUUAAGUCAGUUGUGAAAGUUUGCGGCUCAACCGUAAAAUUGCAGUUGAAACUGGCAGUCUUGAGUACAGUAGAGGUGGGCGGAAUUCGUGGUGUAGCGGUGAAAUGCUU
rnacentral:rRNA from 1 species